GGUAACUCCGCUGGAAACACAUCUCCAAACUCCCGCACGACGGGGAUGUCCUCAAUCCUAGGGGCGUCUAGAUCGUCCCGCAACACAAUAGUAGCCAAGUAGGCCACGCAGCCUCUGCUGAUCAACUGUCUAGCUCGAGAGGAGCUAAUCGUCAUCGCAAAUAGCGAACUCUGGCAUCCUCGGUACACAACCUCCGCCUGCCCCGGCUCUCUAAACAUCACAGUUCGAUUCUUGCAAUCGAUAGUGGCGUAGUACUUGGUCAACCAAUCCAUGCCCAAAACAACAUCAAACUCUCCGAGUUUAUGCAAAGCUAGCAAGUCCACGGGCAUGACCCAAUCUCCAAC
rnacentral:lncRNA from 1 species